UGGAAAGUUUGAGAGGGACAAAUUGGGAUAAAGAGCCCUGGGGCACAAAAGCCCCCGGAAAAGUCUGGGAAAAGAAUCCCAUCUGGGAUGCCUCACCUGAGGCUGAUAUCCUUGCAGAUGAUGAUGGAUGAGAUUCUCCUUGGCCCCUCAAAGAAAUCAGACUGGGAAACACCCACAACACUGAAUUCUGAGCUACUUGAAGGCAGGCAUAUCUACUGUACAAGAAUGAUCCAGUGAAGUAGACAUCUAUUUUACAGAUGGGAAGACUAAGGCUAAAAGAAGUUAAGCAACUUGCCCAGGAGAACACAGUAACGUUCUGACUCCAAGACCCUAUACUCUGUCCAUUGUACCAUGUAGCUGCUUCUAAUCGACUCUAGUAAAAUAACCUCAAACAGAGCCUGCAAGGUGGACUUCCAAUUCAUUACAGACCUGAGUAAUCCCCUCUUGGACAUUUAUUAGCUGUGUGACCUGGGGUGAGUCAUUUCACUUUAAGUUUGUUUCCUCAUUUAAAAAAAAUCAUUUAAUUUAGAAUAUUUUCCCAAGGUUACACGAUUCAUGUUCUUUCCGUCCCCUCCUCUCUCCCCCCUCCCGUAGCCAAUGAGCAAUUCUACUGGGUUUUACAUGUAUCAUUGUUCAAAAUUCAUUUCCAUAUUAUCAGUAUUUGCCAUAGAGUGAUCGUUUAAAGUCAACAUCCCCAAUCAUAUCCCCAU
rnacentral:lncRNA from 1 species